ACCUUUCGAACUUUUAUUUACAAGUUAACUCGUGACGCGCGUCCGCGGGCCGAGGAAGGAACAUCUGCUUCCAACACCGGUGAGUCCGCCGACGCCCGCAGGGCAGCACGGCCCGUCCGUGGGCGCGCCCGCUCCCAACCGGCCUGGGCUGCGCUUCCCCGGCUGCGACGCGUCCGCAAUCACGUGGCCGGAGUUUUAGUAAAGCUUCACGCUGGGAUCGCGCUGGAGCACCCCGGAGCAGGACCCCGGAGCAGGACCCCGGAGCAGGGGGGCGGCGGCGGGGGCUGUGCGCGCCCCGAGCCCGCUCCCCUCCGCCCGCGCGGCGUCCGCGCCGGCACCUCCAGCCCGUCUGCAGCACCCGCCGCCCGUGACGCCGCGGGAACGCAAGCGCCCCGCAGCCCCCGGCCCCGCAGCCCCGCAGCCCCCGGCCCCCCGCCCCGCAGCAGCCCGCAGCCCCCCGCCCCGCCGCGCCCCCCGCCGCGCGCGCCCGCCCGCCCUUUGUCCCGCCGCUGCCGCGCGCCCCGCGCCCCGCGCUCCCCCGCCGCGCCCGCACUCACCGCGCCGAGCAGCCCGCCGGGGCCGCGGCUCGCUGCGCCGCUCAGACAGGUGUGGGCGCCGGGAGGGCUCGCGCGGCUCCCAUGCCUGCCCCGCGGCGCGACCGAGUGCGAGCGAGCGGCGCCGGCAGCGGGCGGGUCCGCCCCCCGCGCCUCCCGAGGCCCGCCCGCCCCGCCUCCGGCCUCGGGGAAGCCGCGCGCCCGCCCCCGCCCCCGCCCCCGCGCCCGCGCCCGCCCCCGCACCGGCCCGCGCGCCCGCCCCCCCCCCCCCCCCGGGUGCCGCCGCCUUGCGGUCGCCGCGCCGGCUCCCUCCCGCCCGCCCGGGUCCCGCCGAGGGCCCGCCCGGCGCCGCGCGCACCCCCGGGGCUCGGCCGCAGCCUCCCGAGCCAGCUUCGGGCCUCCGCCGCCCGCGCUCCGCCGCCUGCUCGCCGGGGCCGCGCGCUCCCGGGGGUCGCCCCCCCCCCCCCACCCCCGCCUGCAGCCGGGGACGACGCGGGCUGUACCUGGGGCGUGGGCAGCCCCUCGGCACAUUGGAAGAGUCGCGAAGACUGUGCUUCUGGGCUUUCAGGGCAUGAGCGAGGCCCCCCCCCGGCCUCAGGUGCCUCCGAGGGACGCAGAGCUGCGCGGGGCGCGCGGGGGCGGCGGGGGCGGCGGGGCCCGGGAGCGCGGGAGGGCGGCGGGGACGGCGGGGGGCGGCGGGGCCCCGAGCGCGGGAGGGCGGCGGGGCCCCGAGCGCGGGAGGGCGGCGGGGACGGCGGGGGGCGGCGGGGCCCCGAGCGCACCGCCCCAGCCUUCCGGGGCGCACCAGCCGGUGGAGCCGCCUCCGCCAGCCCGCGCUGCCCGCCGCGACCGCGCCAUUGAAGGAUCCAGGGCCAGAGCUUUGCUCCCCUCUCCCCAGCGCCUCGGUAUUUGGAGGAAGGACGCUUACUCGGUCCCCCGUGAGCCAGCUUUACGCGUGACCCGUCGCGGUGGAGAAGUUGCAGGUGACCCCCGCGUUACAGAUCAGGAACCGCAGUUCGGAGGAUUGAUGACCUGCCCCCGGUGCACCGAGGCCACAUUUUCGGCCUGGCCCCUUAGCUGCCCUCUCCCUCCGCCAAGCCCGCUCUCAGAAAGGGAGGGAGGGAGGGAGGGUCUGCUAUACUCUUUCACACCAAGGGGCUAA
rnacentral:lncRNA from 1 species